GAUGAACGCUAGCGGCAGGCUUAAUACAUGCAAGUCGAGGGGCAGCAUGAUUGUAGCAAUACAAUUGAUGGCGACCGGCAAACGGGUGCGGAACACGUACACAACCUUCCAACAAGUGGGGGAUAGCCCAGAGAAAUUUGGAUUAAUACCCCGUAACAUAGCGAUGUGGCAUCACAUUGCUAUUAUAGAUUUUUCGCUUGUUGAUGGGCGUGCGGCUGAUUAGAUAGUUGGCGGGGUAACGGCCCACCAAGUCUACGAUCAGUAGCUGAUGUGAGAGCAUGAUCAGCCACACGGGCACUGAGACACGGGCCAGACUCCUACGGGAGGCAGCAGUAAGGAAUAUUGGACAAUGGACGCAAGUCUGAUCCAGCCAUGCCGCGUGAAGGAUUAAGGUCCUCUGGAUUGUAAACUUCUUUUAUAAGGGACGAAAAAAGGCUUUUCUAAGUCGUCUGACGGUACCUUAUGAAUAAGCACCGGCUAACUCCGUGCCAGCCGCCGCAGUAACAC
rnacentral:rRNA from 1 species